CGUAGGGAGCGAGCGUUAUCCGGAUUUAUUGGGUGUAAAGGGUGCGUAGACGGGAGAAUAAGUUAGUUGUGAAACCCCUCGGCUUAACUGAGGACCUGCAACUAAACUAUUUUCUUGAGUACUGGAGAGGAAAGUGGAAUUCCUAGUGUAGCGGUGAAAUGCGUAGAUAUUAGGAGGAACACCAGUGGCGAAGGCGACUUUCUGGACAGAAACUGACGUUGAGGCACGAAAGUGUGGGGAGCAAACAGGAUU
rnacentral:rRNA from 1 species